CUGUUAGUCCCCGCCCCUGGAGCGCCGCAUCCGGUAGCGAGAGUUCAACUUCCUGACUAGGAGCCAAUCAGGGGAGCCGCCUCGCUGUCUACGACAGAGGGUGGGGGAAGACGCGCCGUUUCCGGUGGCAGGGUCUGGGGAAGGGGCGGCAGGCGCCAUGUCCGGCCGCGAAGGUGGCAAGAAGAAGCCACUGAAACAGCCUAAGAAGCAGGCCAAGGAGAUGGACGAGG